rnacentral:rRNA from 1 species
AUUGAACGCUGGCGGCAGGCCUAACACAUGCAAGUCGAGCGGAUGAAGGGAGCUUGCUCCUGGAUUCAGCGGCGGACGGGUGAGUAAUGCCUAGGAAUCUGCCUGGUAGUGGGGGAUAACGUCCGGAAACGGGCGCUAAUACCGCAUACGUCCUGAGGGUGAAAGUGGGGGUUCUUCGGACCUCACGCUAUCAGAUGAGCCUAGGUCGGAUUAGCUAGUUGGUGGGGUAAAGGCCUACCAAGGCGACGAUCCGUAACUGGUCUGAGAGGAUGAUCAGUCACACUGGAACUGAGACACGGUCCAGACUCCUACGGGAGGCAGCAGUGGGGAAUAUUGGACAAUGGGCGAAAGCCUGAUCCAGCCAUGCCGCGUGUGUGAAGAAGGUCUUCGGAUUGUAAAGCACUUUAAGUUGGGAGGAAGGGCAGUAAGUUAAUACCUUGCUGUUUUGACGUUACCAACAGAAUAAGCACCGGCUAACUUCGUG